rnacentral:misc_RNA from 1 species
CUCAACCUCGGAAAGGCAGUGGAAACUGAACAGCUAGAGUAUGGUAGGGGCAAAGGGAAUUCCUGGUGUAGCGGUGAAAUGCGUAGAGAUCAGGAAGAACAUCGGUGGCGAAGGCGCUUUGCUGGACCAUAACUGACACUCAGGGACGAAAGCUAGGGGAGCGAAUGGGAUUAGAUACCCCAGUAGUCCUAGCCGUAAACGAUGGAUACUAGGUGUUGUCUGUAUCGACCCGGACAGUGCCGUAGCUAACGCGUUAAGUAUCCCGCCUGGGGAGUACGCACGCAAGUGUGAAACCCAAAGGAAUUGACGGGGGCCCGCACAAGCGGUGGAGUAUGUGGUUUAAUUCGAUGCAACGCGAAGAACCUUACCAGGACUUGACAUGUCGCGAAUCUUUUGGAAACAGAAGAGUGCCUUAGGGAGCGCGAACACAGGUGGUGCAUGGCCGUCGUCAGCUCGUGUCGUGAGAUGUUGGGUUAUUUACCGCAACGAGCGCAACCCUCGUGUUUAGUUGCCAUCAUUAAGUUGGGAACUCUAAACAGACUGCCGGUGACAAACCGGAGGAAGGUGGGGAUGACGUCAAGUCAGCAUGCCCCUUACGUCCUGGGCUACACACGUACUACAAUGGUAGGGACAGAGGGCAGCCAACUCGCGAGAGUGAGCUAAUCCCGUAAACCCUGCCUCAGUUCAGAUUGCAGGCUGCAACUCGCCUGCAUGAAGGCGGAAUCGCUAGUAAUCGCAGGUCAGCAUACUGCGGUGAAUCCGUCCCCGGGCCUGACACACCGCCCGCACA